GAUCGGAGUCUGCAACCCGACUCCGUGAAGCUGGAUUCGCUAGUAAUCGCGCAUCAGCCAUGGCGCGGUGAAUACGUUCCCGGGCCUUGUACACACCGCCCGUCACACCAUGAGAGUCGGGAACACCCGAAGUCCGUAGUCUAACCGCAAGGGGGGCGCGGCCGAAGGUGGGUCCGGUAAUUGGGGUGAAGUCGUAACAAGGUACC
rnacentral:rRNA from 1 species